UACAGAGGGUGCAAGCGUUGUUCGGAAUUAUUGGGCGUAAAGCGCGUGUAGGCGGCUUUGCAAGUCGGGUGUGAAAGCCCUCAGCUCAACUGAGGAAGUGCGCCCGAAACUGCAGAGCUUGAGUGCCGGAGAGGGUGGCGGAAUUCCCCAAGUAGAGGUGAAAUUCGUAGAUAUGGGGAGGAACACCGGUGGCGAAGGCGGCCAUC
rnacentral:rRNA from 1 species